rnacentral:lncRNA from 1 species
AAAUGCCAUCGAGCAAAGCUUCUCCUCGCCUAACUAAGGGACGCGGGAUAGUAGCCAGGCUCGCGCUUCCGGGGGUGACAGCGGUAACAGUUAUUUAAAUGACAAACCAUUCAACCAAUCAGAGGAAGGAGAGCAACUGGCCAAUGGGGCAAGAAACAUUAUCCUCCUGUCCUGGACCCUACCGGAUCACAUUCAACCCUGGACUAAACAGAUGUAAUUCCUAUUAAAGUAAAUAGUAACUGCAAGCUUAUUACAUGGUUGAAUUUUAUCUAUGUUUUUUAGAGGCUUUAACCCCAACAUACUGACCAAAGUGUUCCUAUUUUGGGUAAAACUGAGGAUUCUACAAUCCUGCACAGAUGGUCUGAGUGAUCAGAAGCUAAUGAGAAUAUUGCUUAUUUGGAUCCUAAACUGCUGAAAGCUGACCAGAUAAUUAAUGGAAGAGCCUUGGUAGUGAAUUGCUAUAUAUUAACUUUUUUGUAAUUUUUUUUAUUGUAGCUAAGCUUAUUGAGUCUUUAUUGCUUACUAAAUUAGUUUCAUACUUUUGUGUCAAUUUUUAUAUCUGUAUAUAAAUAUAUUUUAAAAUAUUGCUUAUUUAGUUAGGUUUUCAUUUUAAAAUCUAUGAUUGUUAUUGACUCUCAAAAUAGUCCCUAAAUUAGAUUAAUCACCACUCUUAUUUCCUCCCCCCAAAACUAUUUUCAGAAGAGUGGUUGCACUACAUUUGGAAAUUCAAAUACAGUAAGAGCUACAAGAAUGAUUGAAGGUUUGAAAACCUACCUCACAGUGAGACACUAAUGAAACUCAAUAGAUUUAGCUCGACAGUGAGGAGUUUAAGAGGUGACUUGAUUAUAGUCUGUAGAUACCUACACUGGGAGAAGAUUUCUGAUAGUAGAGAGUUCUUUAAUCUAGCAAAAGCAUAACAAGAUGAAAUGACAGGGAGUGAAGCUAGACAAAUUCAAACUUGAAAUAAGGUGCAAAUAUUUUACAGAGCGUAUAUAACCAUUGGAACAAAUUAUGUAGCGAUUUGGGAGUGAGGGGGUGGGGGGCGAUUCUCUAUCACUUGAAUUCUCUA